UACGGGAGGCAGCAGUGGGGAAUAUUGCACAAUGGGCGCAAGCCUGAUGCAGCCAUGCCGCGUGUAUGAAGAAGGCCUUCGGGUUGUAAAGUACUUUCAGUCGUGAGGAAGGUGUUAAGGUUAAUAACCUUAGCAAUUGACGUUAGCGACAGAAGAAGCACCGGCUAACUCCGUGCCAGCAGCCGCGGUAAUACGGAGGGUGCGAGCGUUAAUCGGAAUUACUGGGCGUAAAGGGCACGCAGGCGGUUAAUUAAGUUGGAUGUGAAAUCCCCGGGCUUAACCUGGGAAUGGCAUUCAAGACUGGUUAGCUAGAGUCUUGUAGAGGGGGUUAGAAUUCCAUGUGUAGCGGUGAAAUGCGUAGAGAUGUGGAGGAAUACCGGUGGCGAAGGCGGCCCCUGGGACAAAGACUGACGCUCAUGUGCGAAAGCUGGGGAGCAAACAGGAUUAGAUACC
rnacentral:rRNA from 1 species